UCCCGUCCGAUCGUGCCUUCCAUAAAAUACUUCCCGAAGCUUUCUCCCCUGUAUCGCUUUGAUUGAGGCAAAAGGGCGCACUUUGCCCUUAAAAUAAUAUUAAAUUUACAGCUUCGUCGCCCUUCAAAAGUCGGAAAGUAAAUUUUGUUUCGGAUAUUUACGACGGGACGGUUACUUUCAAGAUGCCGAUGGCUUCCGGCUGUUCGACCGGAAAUUUUACGGUGCUUUUAUCAAUCUCGUGUGCGGUGUCAAAUAUGGGGGGGACCGGAAAUUACAGUGCGUUACAUGAUCAUAUAAGAGUCUAUCAAAAAUCGACGAGGAUGUAAUAAAUCCCGCAUCAAAGGAUCCGAGAGGUCAAUUAUCAAAAGGAGGAGGUAAUCAAGUGUCAAAACGAAAGAUGACCUUUUGAUGAAAUGCCAGCAGAAAAAACCGACCUAUAGAUUUAUGGAUAGAGUUUCUAUAAAAGGUAUUUUUAUUUUAAUUAACAAAAUUAUUGUUAUCAAGACUUCAUGCUAUUUCGUUUUACUUUUUCCGAGAUUCGUUUCGCUUUAAGAAACACUUAAAUAUUAAUACUUUUUAUGACGUUCCGGUAAUUAAAAUGAUAAGUAAAGUGCAACAAACUUCCAAUCAUUGUAAUGAAGGCAAUCAAAAGUGAGAUUAACAAGCAAUUACGAAGCUGGAUGUGUGGUAUAUAAAAAAUCGGAAUAGGAAAAUUGUGCAACAAAAUGAAGCGAAUAGUUUUCUUGAUGUUGCUGGCGCUAGCAAUAGCAUUAGGUGAAGAACCGGAAAAACAUGGAGCGAGAAUUGCGCGAAAAGUUUAUGACAGCUUCGAUACUCCUAAUAGACAUUUUUAUAGGGAGUGGGAAUAUCCCAGGUUAGGCGGAUACAAGGAACGUAUACCAACAGACAUGAGACCUUUGGAUUGGACAAACAUUAACGAUUUUUAAACAGCAUCCAACGACAAAUUGCCAAUAAAGAAUUUCAUUUC